rnacentral:rRNA from 1 species
UACGGAGGGGGCUAGCGUUGUUUGGAAUUACUGGGCGUAAAGCGCGCGUAGGCGGCUUUGUAAGUUAGAGGUGAAAGCCCGGAGCUCAACUCCGGAACUGCCUUUAAGACUGCAUCGCUAGAAUUGUGGAGAGGUGAGUGGAAUUCCGAGUGUAGAGGUGAAAUUCGUAGAUAUUCGGAAGAACACCAGUGGCGAAGGCGACUCACUGGACACAUAUUGACGCUGAGGUGCGAAAGCGUGGGGAGCAAACAGG